UAAAGAAUUUAUACACACAAUUAUUUUUUCCUAGGCUUUCUAAUCUGUAUGUAGUAUACCUAUCUCUACGAAACCCGUUAAAUUGAUGGGCUAACUGUUUUCAUAAACAAACGGUUUUUCAAAGACAGUGUGCAGAAGUUUCAGUUAUUGUAGAUUAUUUCUCAUUAUUGUCUCCGCUUAUUGUUCAAUUAUGAUUAAAUCCAGGAGAUAUAAUAAGAUAUUGAACAAAAUUGUCAACAUCAAUGAAGAUUGUUCUGAGGAUACCUCCGAAGAAGAUCAGUAUGAACUAGGCCAAAGCGAAGCUGACAGUGAAAGUUCUGAAUACACUGAAAGUGGAGAGAUAAAAGGAUCUUCGGAUAGUGAAGAGGAAAACUUCUUGAAAGUGUGUCGUAACAAGAAAAUGAUGCGUAUUUUUUCUAGUUCUGACUCCGGGGAUGAAAGGACAAGCAUUCCAAGUACAUCCCAAAAUGUAAUGGGUGAAAUUGAAAUUGCAAUUGACGGGACACAGUGGAUAAAACUGAAAGCGGGCGGAUCUAGGGGUAGGACGCCCGUUCGUAUGAUAUUCAAUGAUAUCGCAGGGCCUACUGGCUAUGCUAAGAGAAAUAUUAUGUCGGGUUGUGUAACUAGUGCUUUCUAAUUGAUAAUUGACAGACAUAUAAUGGAAAACAGAUUCCACUGAUAAAAGAUUGCACUGAAACUGAGGCGCAUCGAGUUUUGAAAAAAGACGGACAAUCACAGUUGCUGAGUUACGUAGUUUUCUAGGAAUUCUAUAUGCCCGGGACGCAUAUGAAGCGCGAUCAUUGAAAGCCUCCGAAAGAUUACAAACAGAUAAAUUUGCGCUGAUAUCCGAAAUAUGGAACAGAUUUAUAAGUAAUAGCCAGACUUGUUACAAGCCAUAUGAAAAUAUUUCAAUAGAUGAAUAAUUAUUUCCAACGAAAGCUCGAUGCAGGUUUACGCAAUAUAUGUCGAAUAAGCCUCAUAAAUUUGGCAUUAAGUUUUAACCAAAACUUGAAGCAGUUGACGUCCAAACAAAAUAUAUUUUGGAUGGUAUUCCUUAUAUGGGGAAAGAUGAAACUCGAUGCUCAAGGGAACAAAGUAGAAGAUGACUUUGUUUUCCUCAAAUUUAUAUAAAUCAGAAUACUGCACGCUUACUGUGUGUAAAAGUAAACCUAGCGUAAAAGUCCUCUUUCUAAGCACCAAAUAUACAGGUAUGCAAGUAGGAGACAAUUAUAAAUGUGUUCCAGAAACCAUUGCUUUCUAUAAUAAAACAAAGUUUGGCGUGGACGUCGUUGACCAGAUGGCACGCAAAUAUAGUGUGAAAGCAGGGAGUUUCCGAUGGCCCCUUCAAAUAUUUUUUCAAUAUUUUAGAUUUGGCAGCGAUAAACGCGUGGAUAUUAUAUAAAGAGUGCACCGGAUCGAAAAUAUCCAGAAAGGAGUUCAUAUUUUGUCAAAGAUCAGACGCUUCAUUUCUGUCACUUUCAACGUCAGAAGUGCGAAAAAGUUGUCAAUAGAAGCAAUAAUUGUAUAUAUUGCAAAAAGAUCGUAUGCGGAAAAUGCACAAACAAAAUUCAGUAUAUUUGUAAAAAAUGUGCUCAAUAAAUAUGAUUACCCUAUAGCGUUAA